CAAGCCCAGCUGAGGCAGCUAAUGAGGGCUCAGGUGGAGGCUAUAAAGAGCAACUCCUGGUAGGAGGAAGAGACUAGCCUGCUUGCUGCUCUGGAGGGAGUGCAGUAGAGACCUGACUGCCAGGGAUGCAAGAAGCUCCCUGGAAGAGGGCAGGGCUGGGGAAGCUUUUGGGCCUAGCAAACCCCAGCUACCAGGCCUGAGGCCCUAGGGGCUGCGAGAGGCAGCUGUGGUAGGCUGGGGAAGCUUGGGCCAGGGAAGUCCCAGGCUUGAAAGCCGUGUUGCAGGAGGCAAGCUGGUAGGCAGAGGUAGCAGGUCUGCACCCUUUGCCAGGGAGGAGUGGCCUGUAGGGACAGCAGUCUGCCUGGUGACAGGAGCUAGAGAGGGACUGGCAGUGGGCUACUGAGGCCUGGAGGGUGCAAGGGAACUGGGUGUUCCCUGGUAGAAGAAUUGGGGGCCCGAAGAAGUAGGGAAGACCCUGGAACAUAGUGAAAGAACAAUGGCACCCUCCCGGAAAGGGCGCUGACAAAGACCGGAGUGAGCACUGCUGGAGGGUAGUGCCCUGAAGACAACGCUGUACUGAUGGAGGACUUGGGGGAGACGCCAGUGGAAGGGGGUGCGUUGGAACAGCCAGCUAAUUCUCCCAAAGUCACUUUGCUGAAGGCGCCAUGCUGCUCAUGGGAAGCAGAAGAUUUUUUCCAAGGAAUUGGCAGCUACAUGGAUCAUCAACCAACAGAAACACCUCUUAGAACAUCAUGCACUGCCACCUUAUCCUGUUUCCUAUCUCCUCUCCUGAUCCACUGAGAACUCUGCAGCAGUAUUGCAAACAAGGUACACGCAUAUUGCAACCUGGGUCCCUGCCAGCUCUUGAUGGAUUUGCGCACCUGGGUGCACCCGCUUACAUUCAUUCACGACCACCGACACCACUAACAAGGACAACUGUGGUGUGUGUAUAGAAGUACUCAGACUCUUUAAAAGGGGAUGAAGUAUCUUCUCCCUAUGCCAGAAGUGAAAGUAAGACAAGCUGGUAGUAUCUCCUGAGCUUUUGAUGCCUGGUGAUUAGUGUCACAAUUGCAUGGUGAUGGAAGGUAUCGAGGCAUAAACUAUUCUGGUGCUUAGUGUGGAGCAUCCCCCAGAUGACGGUCUCCAGUGUAGCAGAUCUUGGUGCCAGAGAUCAAUAUCUGUGCUGCUCCCGUGGCACCAGGGAGUGAUACCAGUAUUGGGUAGAGUUCCCUGGGUUUGUUCUGGGAAGUGAUGGUGCAAUGGGUCCGUGUGUCAAAGAUGCUCUUGGCCCUGCUUCUCUAAUGGAGGCUGGAACAUUCCACAGUUGGAAACCAGGUACUGCAUAUGAGAGGCCUUGAGUCUGAUCUAAUCUGGCAGAUGCUAGGUUCCAAAUAAAAACUGCCUCUCUAAGGUAGCCUAACGAUCUUGCUUUUCUGUGUUACUUUUGUCAAGCUGCAGAUGUCGGUCUGCUUUUGGAAUACAGCUUUAAGAUCAUUCAUUUUAUACCAUUAAUUCUUCCUUGUCUCUCGGACAGUUUCAUCGGUCAUAAAAUAGAAAGCUUUUAAGGGCAACAACUUUAUCUUUCUACAGAACUAAAUAGGCUCCAUGGGACAUUGUCGACGUGAAAGAAAUGAUUAUUUAUCCAUUUAAUAAUUGUGGCUAGAGCAGAGGUCUCAAACUCCUAGCACACAGAGUACGGUGGAGUUUGUGCUCGGUGAACGUGCUCCACAGCUCCCCCUGCCAUGGGGAGGCCCCGACCAUUGUUGCUGCUCCGUGCCAAUUCCCACCUCUCCUCCCCCCAG